rnacentral:snRNA from 2 species
GUGAAUCAGCACACAUAAUAAAACUGGAAUGAUGUAUAAAAGAUUAGCAUGGCCCUCACACAAGUAUGACAUGCGAAUCCAUGGUGUUGCAUAUUUUU